rnacentral:rRNA from 1 species
GACGAACGCUGGCGGCGUGCUUAACACAUGCAAGUCGAACGAAGUGGCGAACGGGUGAGUAACGCGUAAUCAACCUGCCCUUCAGAGGGGUACAACAGUUGGAAACGACUGCUAAUACCACAUACUGAAGGAGGGGAUUGCGUCUGAUUAGCUAGUUGGGGGGGUGACGGCCAACCAAGGCGAUGAUCAGUAGCCGGUCUGGGAGGGUGAACGGCCACAUUGGGACGGAGAUACGGCCCAGACGCCUACGGGAGGCAGCAGUGGGGGAUCUUCCGCAAUGGGCGAAAGUCUGACGGAGCAACGCCGCGUGAGUGAUGACGGCCUUCGGGUUGUAAAGCUCUGUUAAUCGGGACGCGGUACCGGAAUAGAAAGCAACGGCUAACUACGUGCCAGCAGCCGCGGUAAUUC